CAGCAGGUCUUACUUUCCCAUUCAUCCUUAAUCCCAUCAAAUUAAAGUUUAAAAUUGAGAACAUCUGUUUAUUGAAGAUACCAUGAAGACAGUGAAAAGGUAUAAAACAAAGUGGGAGAAGAUAGUUGAAAUACGUACUUGACAAAUGACUCCUGUGUAAACUGUGUAAAGGAAUCCCACAUCAGCAUGAAAAGGCAGACAACCCUGUAGAAAAAUGGGAAAAAGACUUCAAUAGGCAGUUCACCAAAAUGAAUAUAUAAGUGACUAAUAAAUGUAUAUGUUCUGUUUCAGGAGUUGACAGAUAAAUGCAGAUGAAAAUCACAAUAUGACACCAUUGGACACACACCAUAAUGGGAAGCCAUCAGAAUCAAGAGAGAGCAAGUUCUUGGCAUCACGGAGCGAUCCACAUUCCAGGUCAUGCCGUGGACCUGCCGCGUGCCCUCAGGUCCUUGAGGAAUCGCCACACUGUCUUCC